ACCAUCUGCAAUUGCGGAGAAAUCAAUCAUCUAUGGAUGUUUUAAUCAUUUCCAUAGAUGCUGCUGGAUCUGCUGAGUUCCUCCAGUAUUUUGUAUGUGCUGCCUCCAUUAUCUCUCUUUAAGUAAAAUGCACUCAGUGUCGUUUCUAUUAGGUACCUCCUGCAUCUAAUGAAGUGGUUAAUGAAUGCACGAUCGUGAUCUGCUGCUGUAACCCAUCAACUUCAAAGUUCAAGAUGCUAUGGACCACUCUUCUGAGACGUUCAUGCAAAAUAACGUUACUUACAGACUCCACAAGCUGUGAGAAGUUUUACUGCCAAAGGUGGAGCUGGACAAGGGUCAAAGAACGGUUCAACAAUGUAGCGUCCAAACGAUAAGCCUACAACAGCAGUGACUGAUGGUCUGUCAAAAGAAAAACAUCUGUUCUUUUGAAGACCCUGACCUGCAGUUACCCUCUGACCUUGGUUCUUUGUGGGAAUGGGGCCUGCUCUCAAGGCUUCACGACCAGCUGCAUUUCGAUAUCCCAAGGACACGGCCUGGAAGACUGGUGCGCCUUCAGGGUGCCAGAUUUUCAUGGCUCUGGAGAUGGGCUGAUUCUAGGCUGGUGCCCCUGACUGCGGUGUUGCGGGAGAACACGGAACAUCAGGAGCAGUGGGUUAGCUGCUGGCUGUGUGUCUGGAGACCUGAGCCUUUCCGGGGCUGGAUCUCUGGCCGCAGAGCUCGGUAAAAGUGACGCAACAGACUUUUAACACCAUAAAUCAGUGAGUUGCUUGUUACGUCUCCCCUCUCGCUGUGAAAUGGGGACACCUCUUUUUCCCUUAUUAGGGAGUGAGAGAGAGAGAGCCUGUGGUAUGUCGAAUACCGGGUGAACAAGUAGUCUUUGGGGCACUGCGAGUCUGUGUAUUUAUCGAUGCUUUGCUGCACGCUUGAGAG